CCUACGGGGGGCAGCAGUGGGGGAUAUUGCACAAUGGGGGAAACCCUGAUGCAGCGACGCCGCGUGGGUGAAGAAGCGCCUCGGCGCGUAAAGCCCUGUCAGCAGGGAAGAAAAUGACGGUACCUGAAGAAGAAGCCCCGGCUAACUACGUGCCAGCAGCCGCGGUAAUACGUAGGGGGCAAGUGUUAUCCGGAUUUACUGGGUGUAAAGGGGGCGCAGACGGCGAUGCAAGCCAGGGGUGAAAGCCCGGGGCCCAACCCCGGGACUGCUCUUGGAACUGCGUGGCUAGAGUGCAGGAGGGGCAGGCGGAAUUCCUGGUGUAGCGGUGAAAUGCGUAGAUAUCAGGAGGAACACCGGUGGCGAAGGCGGCCUGCUGGAUUGCAACUGACGUUGAGGCCCGAAAGCGUGGGGAGCAAACAGGAUUAGAUACCCCAGUAGUC
rnacentral:rRNA from 1 species